UGGGAAUUUGGACAAUGGCGAAAGCCUGAUCCAGCAAUGCCGCGUGUGUGAAGAAGGCCUUCGGGUUGUAAAGCACUUUUGUCCGGAAAGAAAUCCUUGGCUCUAAUACAGUCGGGGGAUGACGGUACCGGAAGAAUAAGCACCGGCUAACUACGUGCCAGCAGCCGCGGUAAUACGUAGGGUGCAAGCGUUAAUCGGAAUUACUGGGCGUAAAGCGUGCGCAGGCGGUUUGCUAAGACCGAUGUGAAAUCCCCGGGCUCAACCUGGGAACUGCAUUGGUGACUGGCAGGCUAGAGUAUGGCAGAGGGGGGUAGAAUUCCACGUGUGAGCAGUGAAAUGCGUAGAGAUGUGGAGGAAUACGAUGGCGAAGGCAGCCCCUGGCCAAUACUGACGCUCAUGCACGAAAGCGUGGGGAGCAAACAGGAUU
rnacentral:rRNA from 1 species